AGUGAACGCUGGCGGUAGGCCUAACACAUGCAAGUCGAACGGCAGCACAGUAAGAGCUUGCUCUUACGGGUGGCGAGUGGCGGACGGGUGAGGAAUACAUCUGAAUCUACUUUUUCGUGGGGGGUAACGUAGGGAAACUUACGCUAAUACCGCAUACGACCUACGGGUGAAAGCAGGGGAUCUUCGGACCUUGCGCGAUUGAAUGAGCCGAUGUCGGAUUAGCUAGUUGGCGGGGUAAAGGCCCACCAAGGCGACGAUCCGUAGCUGGUCUGAGAGGAUGAUCAGCCACACUGGAACUGAGACACGGUCCAGACUCCUACGGGAGGCAGCAGUGGGGAAUAUUGGACAAUGGGCGCAAGCCUGAUCCAGCCAUACCGCGUGGGUGAAGAAGGCCUUCGGGUUGUAAAGCCCUUUUGUUGGGAAAGAAAAGCAGCAGGUUAAUACCCCGCUGUUCUGACGGUACCCAAAGAAUAAGCACCGGCUAACUUCGUG
rnacentral:rRNA from 1 species